rnacentral:rRNA from 1 species
UACAGAGGUCUCCAGCGUUGUUCGGAUUCAUUGGGCGUAAAGGGUGCGUAGGCGGGUUAUUAAGUCAGAGGUGAAAUCCUGGAGCUCAACUCCAGAACUGCCUUUGAUACUGAUAGUCUUGAGUAUGGGAGAGGUGAGUGGAACUGCGAGUGUAGAGGUGAAAUUCGUAGAUAUUCGCAAGAACACCAGUGGCGAAGGCGGCUCACUGGCCCAUUACUGACGCUGAGGCACGAAAGCGUGGGGAGCAAACAGG